GGACUACCCGGGUUUCUAAUCCUGUUUGCUCCCCAUGCUUUCGUGGCUCAGCGUCAGGUGCACGCCAGCAGGCCGUCUGCACCACUGGUAUUCUUCCCGAUCUCUACCCAUUUCACUGGUCCACCGGGAGUUCUACCUGCCUCUCAUACCCUCAAGCCUAGCCGUAUCCAUGACCCCCUCCCAGGUAAGCCGGGAGAUUUCACCACAGACGCACUAAGCCGCCUACCCACGCUUUACGCCCAGUAACUCCGGACAACGCUCGCCUCCUACGUAUUACCGCGGCGGCUGGCAC
rnacentral:rRNA from 1 species